UACGUAGGGCGCAAGCGUUGUCCGGAAUUAUUGGGCGUAAAGAGCUCGUAGGCGGUUUGUCGCGUCUGCUGUGAAAUCCCACGGCUCAACCGUGGAACUGCUCGGUAUACUGCUUUUCUUGAGCCACUUAGGGGCUGUCGGAACAAACGGUGGAGCGGUGAAAUGCGUAGAUAUCGUUUGGAACGCCAACGGUGAAGACAGACAGCUGGGAGUGUGCUGACGCUGAGACACGAAAGCCAGGGGAGCGAACGGG
rnacentral:rRNA from 1 species